rnacentral:lncRNA from 1 species
CCCUUCAAGUUUGGGUAAUUUCUGCAUACAAUCUCAUCUUUAAACAUUUUUCAAGUUUUCGAAGUAUUCAAAAGUUUUCUUGCCAUUAAUCUGCUUUAACAAAAUGGUGGUAUGCGACCAUCACAUAAUAACAUAAAACUUUUGUAGGACGAAUGUGUUCUUGGGAGAAGAAGAGAAGGAGGGGGGCACAGAGGAGGAGGAGACGGAAGCACAGGAAGCGAAGAAGGAUGGCGACAGCGGAGGAGGACGAGAGGAGAGAAGGAGGGUGGUGGGGAGGAGAAGGCGGAGGUGAAGUUGGAGUAAGUGAAGUAGGAUGACGACGGCCAGGGAGAAUGGGAGAGGAGAAAAGCAAAGAGAGUGGCGGGGAGGAGGAGAAGGAGGCAAAAGCGGAGGCGGAGGAGAGGGAGAAAAGCAAGGUGGUAGGGAAAACAAGGAAGAGGAGAAGCCCAAGUCGAAAGGGGAAGAAGUCAGUUAACCAUUCCUCUUCUCUCUUCUCCUUAAUCCCUCUUUGUCUGAAUAUGUUAAAGCUAGCUCUGUUUUCUUCUUAAUGGUUUCUCUGAGCUCUGUUUUCUUCUCCUCUCCAGCGACCGUGAUAGCUGUUGUGCUCAAGGUCUAUAUGCUCUAUUUUCUUCUUCUUACCUACCUUUUCUUUAUUCUUCAUAUUUCUUUUUCUAAUGGGCUCUUAUUGAAUUCAUUAGAUUUAUUUGGUUUUCUUAGAGUCUCAGCCCUAAGAGGCCAUCCAUCCUU